rnacentral:lncRNA from 1 species
GGCUCUUGCCAGGAGUUAUAUAAACCCCAGAGAAUGCCUGCUAGGUAAAAGAGGUUACCUCACUUACUUUUUUUCUGUUUUAGACAUGGCCGUGCAGUUCGCUGUGUUCUGGAACGAGGAGAAGACAUGUUAAUAACUGGAGGCCGCCAUCCUUACCUUGGAAAGUACAAAGCUGGAUUCAUGAACGAUGGCAGAAUCUUGGCCCUGGACAUGGAGCAUUACAGCAAUGCAGGCGCCUCCUUGGAUGAAUCAUUAUUCGUGAUAGAAAUGGGACUUCUGAAAAUGGACAAUGCUUACAAGUUUCCCAAUCUCCGCUGCCGGGGUUGGGCAUGCAGAACCAACCUUCCAUCCAACACAGCUUUUCGUGGGUUUGGCUUUCCUCAGGCAGCGCUGAUCACCGAAUCUUGUAUCACGGAAGUUGCAGCCAAAUGUGGACUAUCCCCUGAGAAGGU